GAUCCUCUGCUGCUACGCCCAGUCCCAGAUCCCCUGCUGCCGCCCGCAGAGACUAAUCGUUUCAAGCGACAUUCUCAAGGCACACACCACCUAUGUGAAGAAGUUCUACAAGUUGUGCGACCCAGAGGAUAAGGAGACCAAUGUGGAAUUCAUGUACUUAGCCAAGUGGAAGGAUUAAGGGGACUGAUCAGAUAUCAGCUGCUUAAAAGUUCCCCUCUAUUUCCUUGUCUUCUUCAGUUGCUCGGCUUCGUCUCCGGUAAUGGUUUUGUUGGGGAAACUGACAAAAACAAUGAGAAACCUUUACACUCACAAGAACAUUAUUACUCACAAGAACAUUGUUGUUAAAUACAGUGGUAACAAGGAAGGUUUUGUAUAUAACCUUAAAAGGUAACUGAGACCUAUAUGUUGGCUAAUUAAAUUUUCUCUAUAGAUAAUUUAUGUGAAUCUAACGCAAGAGUCACCUAAGCUAUUUGAAGCUGGUAAAAUCAAUACAAUAUUUUGCAAAUAUAGCCCAUAGGUAGUGGAAAUGUGCCUUCUGAAUUUGAUUCAAGUACAUGUCGUAGCGUGUAAGUGUUGGAAGUGGUUCUUUCUCUGAUCUUAAACUCCCGGUUCCUGAUGAAAUGAACAAGUAUUGCACAUAUAAACCUUAUUCUGAAUUUGUUUUUUCGUUGUGUUCUCAGCUAAAUUAAAACCGCGGCAAGCCGCAAGAAACAAGCCCUAUAUUUUUUGACAGUGUUUUCUCCUACGUUCCGAUUUUCUUGGGAAUUGAUGGGUCCUUGUUAUUUGCAUUGCUUCGAUUCUUUGCUCCACAUAAUAAGUUCUUGCUUCUAUAUAAAACCACUGAGUGGGACUUAUUUUUAUCUUUUUCGCUUUAUUCUUCUAACGUUAGUCAUGUCAUGCAAAAUAUAACUGUAUGGCACUAUAUUCUUGAUGACCGCCAUUUGAUUAUAAACGCUUUUUUUGUUACAUGCUCACAAAUUGUCAUUAUUGUACUUGAGAUUUGCAUGUUGCAUACUUGAGCACAGUUCGAGAUGAAAAAACUGUGAGUAAUGCAUGCUUUGAAUUUGUAUGUUAGUUACUUCAAUUUGACUAGACAGUAGGUAUAUAUACAAAAAUAUUAAUUGUUAUUCUAUAAUUUUAUUAGUGUUAUUUAAAGUGGGUGCUAAGACAUUAUACUAUAUCUUUUAAGAUAUGUAAAUAUUUAUUUUUAGUGAUUCUAAUAAAAGUAUAGAAUAACAA